rnacentral:tRNA from 1 species
UAAAUUUUAGUUUAAUCAAAAUUUAAUAUUUACAAUAUUAAGAUAUAUUUUAUAUAAAUUUAA